UACGUAGGGGGCAAGCGUUGUCCGGAAUUAUUGGGCGUAAAGGGCGCGUAGGCGGUGCGGUAAGUCACCUGUGAAAACUCUGGGCUCAACUCAGAGCCUGCAGGCGAAACUGCCGUGCUUGAGACCGGGAGAGGUGAGUGGAAUUCCCAGUGUAGCGGUGAAAUGCGUAGAUAUUGGGAGGAACACCAGUGGCGAAGGCGGCUCACUGGACCGGUACUGACGCUGAUGCGCGAAAGCGUGGGAGCAAACGGG
rnacentral:rRNA from 1 species